UUCCAGGGUUUCAAAGCAUGUACUUUAUCUUCAGGGAAAUAUUCUCUGCUUGCUUUUAUAUAGUUUAUCGGUAAAAGGAAGGAAAGCCAACGGCGCGGUGCUUGCAAUGCACGGCCCCACAUUCGGCAACUCUGGUUUCAUCACACAGCACGAGCUCUACUUGCUGCCAUGCUCCAUCCUGUGCCUUCUGUGCUGGAAGAAAAGUCACCAUCGUAAGCCAUGGUCUUCUCUCUCAUGUGAAGAGAGCCAUCAUGGGGAAUGCCUCAUCCAUUCCACCUACUUAGAAGAGAUAGUCAAAAUGGUCACAGAAAACAUCAACCACUCUGCUGCAUCAGAUAAGUAAACCAUUUUGUUUCCUCUAAAUAAAAGAGAAAAUCAGCCCCAUCUUGGAAAUAUGGUCCCGCUUUGCAUAUCUUGUGCAGCUAGUUUUGCCACUCUCUUGCUUGCCAUAACUCACUCCAACCCCAGUUAUAAAAUUACCUCUUUGUGCUUGUUCUUACUUUCUUUGGGAUUCUCUUUAGUUGCUUUAAAUUGACUCUAUAAGAGACAAUAGUCCAUGAGUACUGUACAGAGCCUUAAAUCUAAUCUCUCUGUUAUUGCUAAAAGUUUUCUAAGGACCUGACAGACAGUAUAGACACAAUUGCCCUGAACAUCGUCACCCUCCAGAAUCAGUUAGAUUUACCGACUGUGGCAGCCCUGCAAAACUGGAGGGCCUAGACCUCCUAACCACUGAAAAAGGGUGAUUGUAUUUGUCUCUAAAAGAAUGCUGCUUAUAUGUCAACUAUUCUGGAAUAGUGAGAGAUGCAGUAUGAAAAUCAGCUGACCACACUUCUAG
rnacentral:lncRNA from 1 species